AACACAUGAAACUUGCCUAAAUUAGUCAAGAAUAUUUUGAGAAUACAUCGCAAAAUUUGCAUAUAAUUCAGGAAUAAUCAAAUUGUUCCAUAGAUUCAUUUUUGGAGAAUAAUUCUGAGAAUCAUCCGAGAAUAAUAUAUGAAUAUUUCAAUACUCGGAGAAUAUUGCAACUAUGAUAGCAACCGGUAGCUACGGUCCUGGGAGC
rnacentral:lncRNA from 1 species